rnacentral:rRNA from 1 species
ACCUAAGGAGUACGCUUUCAUCAGUGAAACUUAAAGGUUCUGGUGGUGGUUUAGAGCAAUAGUGGAAUAGAUUCUUUAAUUCGAUGUUCUGCGAUAAAGCUUAUCAGUAAGAUCCAAUCAUCUCAGGAGAUGGAACUAUCUUGACCACAUGUUAAUGAUACUGUAGUGCAUGGCUGUUUGUGGGGAAUGUUUUGUAAUCGUUAAUGGCUGUUUAUAAGAGACAAUACCCGAUAGACUUUAAGCUAGAGAGAAGAACGGCGAGUCAUUAUGCUCUUUUUUUCGGAGCUAGAGAUCUGUUACAA